GAGGAAUAUUGGUCAAUGGACGAGAGUCUGAACCAGCCAAAUCGCGUGAAGGAAGACUGCCCUACGGGUUGUAAACUUCUUUUGUACAGGAAUAAAAGACAUUACGUGUAAUGUAUUGCAUGUACUGUACGAAUAAGCAUCGGCUAACUCCGUGCCAGCAGCCGCGGUAAUACGGAGGAUGCGAGCGUUAUCCGGAUUUAUUGGGUUUAAAGGGUGCGCAGGCGGGAUUUUAAGUCAGCGGUGAAAUUUUCAGGCUCAACCUGAACACUGCCGUUGAAACUGGGAAUCUUGAGUAUGGAUGAAGUAGGCGGAAUUCGUUGUGUAGCGGUGACAUGCUUAGAUAUAACGAGGAACUCCGAUUGCGCAGGCAGCUUACUAAGCCACAACUGACGCUCAUGCACGAAGGCGUGGGGAUCAAACA
rnacentral:rRNA from 1 species